rnacentral:rRNA from 1 species
AUUGAACGCUGGCGGCAUGCCUAACACAUGCAAGUCGAACGGAGGUAGGGGCAACUCUACUUCAGUGGCGGACGGGUGAGGAAUGCGUCGGAAUCUACCCUAUGGUGGGGGAUAACACAGGGAAACUUGUGCUAAUACCGCAUAAUGUCGAGAGACCAAAGCAGGGGACCGCAAGGCCUUGCGCGAUAGGAUGAGCCGACGCCCGAUUAGCUAGUUGGUAGGGUAAAGGCCUACCAAGGCGACGAUCGGUAGCUGGUCUGAGAGGAUGAUCAGCCACACUGGGACUGAGACACGGCCCAGACUCCUACGGGAGGCAGCAGUGGGGAAUAUUGCGCAAUGGGCGAAAGCCUGACGCAGCGACGCCGCGUGGGGGAUGAAGGUCUUCGGAUUGUAAACCCCUUUCGGGAGGGAAGAUGGAGCGAGCAAUCGUUCGGACGGUACCUCCAGAAGCAGCCACGGCCAACUUCGUGCCAGCAGCCGCGGUAAGUCUCG